AGCUGGCUGGCUCAGUCAGUGGAGCAUGUGACUCUUGAUCUCAGAGUUGUGAGUUCAAGUCCCACAUUGGCUG
rnacentral:tRNA from 1 species